rnacentral:RNase_P_RNA from 1 species
AAAGACGGAUACGCAAUCGCUUUACAAUCUUUUGAUAUGUAAAGAGGAAAGUCCGAACUUUAACCUUACACGUUAAGGUAAACGGUAGCAGGCAAUUCCUGUCGCCCGUGAGGGUAGAGGUGCGAACAGAGACGCUUUUCUUAGAAAUAAGAAAGUAUCCUUGUAAAAGGAUAAGCUUUCAUGGAGACACGAAAGGUGAAACGGCCAAAUCCUUACCGGAAAGCAAGGCUGAAGUAAUAGCCGCUUGAUUGUUAAAAGCAAUUUUAACAACAGAGAAAUGGUUGCGCUUUCAAAUUUUGGAAGACAGAAUUCGGUGUACAAUUCGUCUUUAUAA